rnacentral:rRNA from 1 species
AGUGAACGCUGGCGGUAGGCCUAACACAUGCAAGUCGAACGGCAGCACAGUAAGAGCUUGCUCUUACGGGUGGCGAGUGGCGGACGGGUGAGGAAUACAUCGGAAUCUACUUUUUCGUGGGGGAUAACGUAGGGAAACUUACGCUAAUACCGCAUACGACCUACGGGUGAAAGCAGGGGAUCUUCGGACCUUGCGCGAAUGAAUGAGCCGAUGUCGGAUUAGCUAGUUGGCGGGGUAAAGGCCCACCAAGGCGACGAUCCGUAGCUGGUCUGAGAGGAGGAUAAGCCACACUGGAACUGGGACACGGUCCAGACUCCUACGGGAGGGAGCAGUGGGGAAUAUUGGACAAUGGGGGCAAGCCUGGUCCAGCCAUACCGCGUGGGUGAAGAAGGCCUUCGGGUUGUAAAGCCCUUUUGUUGGGAAAGAAAAGCAGCAGGUUAAUACCCCGCUGUUCUGACGGUACCCAAAGAAUAAGCACCGGCUAACUUCGUG